UCCUGAUAGGUGAACUGCAACACGCCCAGAUCUGAGGAAACAGAGGGAUGAAACUGCUAUCUGUACAGGCAUCUAUAGCACAUUCUUUACCUCUUCUGGGCUAGAGCGCAGCACCACCUGGAGAAAUCAUGCUGCACUUUCAUUGGUCAGAGACUUGUCAGGACAUGCCUUUGGCAAAGGACAGAUGAGUUGAAUUUUUUUACGCUUUUUGAAGUGUAAACAGGAAGACUGAAGAGAAGACAUGUUACCACAGAAACAAGUUUGGCAACCAGUUGGAACAAUACUGGAAGCUGUGUAAACAACAAGGAUAGGUGCACGGUGCUCAUGGAACAGAGCAACUUUGAGAACAAGAUGGAAGAAAAGCAGUGAAUUAAAAAUGCACGAUUUUUGGCCCUGUUAGAAACAUAAAUACAAAUGUUUGUAUCAUCUUUCUUUAAUAAUUGUUCUAGCUUCAGACACAGAGCCUAUGGUUUCAAAAACAUGAGGUGAUAACUGUUUUGUUGUUUCAGGAAGAAGCAACAUACUGUACAAAAUUACAAGAAUUUA
rnacentral:lncRNA from 1 species